AGUCUUCCAUGAUACCCCAGGUCCUUAUUCAGGAACUGGCCAGCUUUUCUGUGCUGGGGGGAUAGAUAGAGAGCAAAGAACAGGGCAGGAAGGAGGCUCCAGCUGGAUCUGCAGAGGACCCAACGGCAGAAGGCUGACGUAGCCAGCCUGGUCUUACGGUGCCGGAGAACAGCAAGCCCAUUCAUGAGGAUGGAGACUGCCACUCAGCCCUCUGAGUGUCUCAUUUGAGAACAAUAGCAUGACAGUCACCUAAAAGCAACUUUGAACAGCAUGUAGGGGUGAGAGCGACAUGCCCAGGGAAGGUUGGAUGGCACAAGAAGGAGAUGCUGAUGCAGGGACCAAGCAGAGGAUGUUCUCCAAAGUGAGGGCAGAGACCCGGAGAGAUGGUUGGCGACUCUGCUUCCAGUGCAGUGAGAGCCUCUGGGUGACCAGAGCUACGCCAGGACGCCUG
rnacentral:lncRNA from 1 species